AACGAACGCUGGCGGCAGGCCUAACACAUGCAAGUCGAGCGGACCCUCCGGGGUUAGUGGCGGACGGGUGAGUAACGCGUGGGAAUAUGCCCUUCUCUACGGAAUAGUACUGGGAAACUGGGGGUAAUACCGUAUACGCCCUUCGGGGGCAAGAUUUAUCGGGGUAGGAUUAGCCCGCGUUGGAUUAGGUAGUUGCUGGGGUAAUGGCCUAUCAAGGCUACGCUCCAUAGCUGGGUUGAGAGGCAGAUCCGCCACACUGGGUCUGAGAAGCGGCCCGGACUACUGGGGGAGGGAGCAGUGGGGGAUCCUAGAAAACGGGGGCGAUGAUGAACUAGCCCUGCCGGGUGAGUGAUGAAGUCGUUAGGGAUGUAAAGCUGGUUCAGACGGGAAGAUAAUGACGGUACCAGAAGAAGAAGCACCGGCUAACUCCGUG
rnacentral:rRNA from 1 species